GACGAACGCUGGCGGCGUGCUUAACACAUGCAAGUCGAACGGAAAGGCCCUGCUUUUGUGGGGUGCUCGAGUGGCGAACGGGUGAGUAACACGUGAGUAACCUGCCCUUGACUUUGGGAUAACUUCAGGAAACUGGGGCUAAUACCGGAUAGGAGCUCCUGCUGCAUGGUGGGGGUUGGAAAGUUUCGGCGGUUGGGGAUGGACUCGCGGCUUAUCAGCUUGUUGGUGGGGUAGUGGCUUACCAAGGCUUUGACGGGUAGCCGGCUUGAGAGGGUGACCGGCCACAUUGGGACUGAGAUACGGCCCAGACUCCUACGGGAGGCAGCAGUGGGGAAUAUUGCACAAUGGGCGGAAGCCUGAUGCAGCAACGCCGCGUGCGGGAUAACGGCCUUCGGGUUGUAAACCGCUUUCGCCUGUGACGAAGCGUGAGUGACGGUAAUGGGUAAAGAAGCACCGGCUAACUACGUG
rnacentral:rRNA from 1 species